UUUGUUUUCUUAAAAACCAUUUUCACCAAAAUAUCCCACGAGCGUCGAGCUCACCAUUGAUUCUCUCUCCAAUGGCCGCCGCCGCCGCCGCCGCUUCCCUUGUUCUCGCCUUCCGCCUUCCCGUCACCAUCUUCUCAUCUCUUCGUUCUCUCCGAUCCUCCUCCUCCCUCCCUCUCGCUUCUCCUCGUCUCUCCUUUCGCUCCUUCUGUUCCUCCGCCUCCUCCUCCUCAGCUCUCACCUCCUCUUCAUCUCUCUCCACCGGCUUGCUCCACGAUUCAAACGAAGACGAGGAGGUACCAGGAUCACAAAUCUUGGAAACCGAGCCUCAACCAGAGCCUGAGCCUGUGCUUGUUUGUGCUUCAUCGCCCCCGCCGAAGCUAAGCGUGAAGGAGAAGAAGGAGCUUGCCUCGUACGCUCAUAGCCUAGGCAAGAAGCUCAAGUCCCAGCAGGUCGGUAAGUCCGGCGUCACCCCUUCUGUCGCUGCCUCCUUCAUCGAGACUCUUGAGGCCAACGAGCUCCUCAAGCUCAAAGUGCACGGAAGCUGUCCCGGAGAGUUAUCUGAGGUGAUAUCUCAACUGGAGAAUGCAACUGGAUCUGUGGCUGUUGGUCAGAUUGGACGAACAGUGAUCCUUUACCGGCCUAGCAUCAGCAAGAUGAAAAAGAGAGAGGCUGAGAUUACCAGAUCGAACUCAAAACCAAGAGAAUUUGAUACUGUUUAUUCAAGGGCGCAAAAGAGAGGUCAAUUUCGCAGAGCCUCAUUGCAACAUCUGAGCGAAGCUGCGUAGUAUGAUGUUCUUCUCCUCGGUUGUUCAUGUUGAACUUAGUUCAAUCACGGCUCACAACUGCUAAGAUAAUUUUCACAAGGUCAUCGCACAAGUAUACAUGAUAACAUGAAGUGCAGGAUGUUCAAGUUGGAAGGCUUGUAAGGUCUAGUUAAUUCCUGGUUUGUGAUGGAGUUGAUUAAGCCUCAUUAGAAAUCCAUGCUGUGUUAAGUAUAAUAUGCAAAAUUCAUUAUAUGAAAGUUAUGUAAUAAAUUGGAAAUUUUGGAAUUUAAGAAAUCUAACAUAAAAGGAGAAUAUUUUUUUUAUGUC